rnacentral:rRNA from 1 species
ACUCAAAUGAAUUGACGGGGACCCGCACAAGCAGUGGAGCGUGUUGUUCAAUUCGAUACAAAACGAAAAACCUCACCAGGGUUUGACAUGUAGCUGCAAAUCCCAUGAAAGUGGGACUUCUUCGAGAGUGCUACACAGAUGCUGCAUGGCUGUCGUCAGCUCGUGGCGUGAGCUGUUAUCUUAAGUGAUGAAACGAGCGCAACCCUCACCGUAUGUUAAAUUAUUCAUAUGGAACAGCCCCGAUUCGUCGGGGAGGAAGGCGAGGAUGACGUCAAGUCAGCACGGCUCUUACACCCUGGGCUACAAACACACUACAAUGGCGAAAAACAACGAGUUGCAAGCUAGUAAUAGCAAGCUAAUCUCUGAAAUUUCGCCUCAGUUCAGAUUGGGGUCUGCAAUUCGACCCCAUGAAGUCGGAAUUGCUAGUAAUCGCGGAUCAGCAUGCCGCGGUGAAUACGUUCUCGGGUCUUGUACACACCGCCCGU